UCUCUUCGGAGCAGAGGUGACAGGUGGUGCAUGGUUGUCGUCAGCUCGUGUCGUGAGAUGUUGGGUUAAGUCCCGCAACGAGCGCAACCCYUAUUUUUAGUUGCCAGCAYUUUGGRUGGGCACUCUAGAGAGACUGCCGGGGAUAACUCGGAGGAAGGUGGGGAUGACGUCAAAUCAUCAUGCCCCUUAUGUUUUGGGCUACACACGUGCUACAAUGGMUGGUACAGAGAGCAGCNAANAGRGUGAYCUGGAGCAAAUCUUYAAAGCCAKUCUCAGUUCGGAUUGUAGGCUGCAACUCGCCUACAUGAAGUUGGAGUUGCUAGUAAUCGCARAUCAGAAUGYUGCGGUGAAUGCGUUCCCGGGUCUUGUANCACAC
rnacentral:rRNA from 1 species